rnacentral:rRNA from 1 species
AUUGAACGCUGGCGGAAUGCUUUACACAUGCAAGUCGAACGGCAGCACGGACUUCGGUCUGGUGGCGAGUGGCGAACGGGUGAGUAAUGUAUCGGAACGUGCCCAGUCGUGGGGGAUAACGUAGUGAAAAUUACGCUAAUACCGCAUACGAUCUAUGGAUGAAAGCGGGGGAUCGCAAGACCUCGCGCGAUUGGAGCGGCCGAUAUCAGAUUAGGUAGUUGGUGGGGUAAAGGCCCACCAAGCCAACGAUCUGUAGCUGGUCUGAGAGGACGACCAGCCACACUGGAACUGAGACACGGUCCAGACUCCUACGGGAGGCAGCAGUGGGGAAUUUUGGACAAUGGGCGCAAGCCUGAUCCAGCCAUUCCACGUGCAGGAUGAAGGCCCUCGGGUUGUAAACUGCUUUUGUACAGAACGAAAAGGUUUCUACUAAUACUAGGAGCUCAUGACGGUACUGUAAGAAUAAGCACCGGCUAACUACGUG